AAGUACUUUUAACUGAUGUGCUAUCACUCUUCAACCCUCUUCCUUUUCUUUUUACUCAACUAAUAACAACAUGCUGUGGUAGUUGGGUUGCAGAAGUGCGAUAUUAAAGUCAAAGCCAUGAGUCUUUUAGGCCCAGGGUGUAAAGACACAUUCUGAGUUAUAACUCAGAGGCACAUUU